CUGAUAUAUCUCUAUUGUAUAUAGAACAGAGGAGCACUGCUUAGCAAGUGGCUUUAUCAACAGGUUGAAAAGGCAAACAGACUAUACAGAUGGCAUAAUGGAAAAUAAAAAGAGUGACAAAAAGGGAAAUCAAUCUGAAAAUAAGAUGGGAGAGAAAAAGAAUCCACUUAGACAAAAGAAUUAACUCAGACAUCCCAACUCUCCCUGGAGUUCAGG